CAGUAGCCGCGGGAAUACGUAGGGUGCAAGCGUUGUCCGGAAUUAUUGGGCGUAAAGAGCUCGUAGGCGGCUCGUCGCGUCGGCUGUGAAAACCUGGGGCUCAACCCCGGGCCUGCAGCCGAUACGGGCGAGCUAGAAUUCGGUAGGGGAGACUGGAAUUCCUGGUGUAGCGGUGAAAUGCGCAGAUAUCAGGAGGAACACCGGUGGCGAAGGCGGGUCUCUGGGCCGAUAUUGACGCUGAGGAGCGAAAGCGUGGGGAGCGAACAGGAUUAGAUACCCCAGUAGUCCCUGUCUCUUAUAC
rnacentral:rRNA from 1 species